CAUGCCAAUGGCACUGCCCGGUAGCUAAAUGCGGAAGAGAUAAGUGCUGAAAGCAUCUAAGCACGAAACUUGCCCCGAGAUGAGUUCUCCCUGAGACUUUGAGUCUCCUGAAGGAACGUUGAAGACGACGACGUUGAUAGGCCGGGUGUGUAAGCGCAGCGAUGCGUUGAGCUAACCGGUACUAAUGAACCGUGAGGCUUAACCUUACAACGCCGAAG
rnacentral:rRNA from 1 species